rnacentral:rRNA from 1 species
AGCGGCGGACGGGUGAGUAAUGCUUAGGAAUCUGCCUAUUAGUGGGGGACAACAUUCCGAAAGGAAUGCUAAUACCGCAUACGCCCUACGGGGGAAAGCAGGGGAUCUUCGGACCUUGCGCUAAUAGAUGAGCCUAAGUCGGAUUAGCUAGUUGGUGGGGUAAAGGCCUACCAAGGCGACGAUCUGUAGCGGGUCUGAGAGGAUGAUCCGCCACACUGGGACUGAGACACGGCCCAGACUCCUACGGGAGGCAGCAGUGGGGAAUAUUGGACAAUGGGCGCAAGCCUGAUCCAGCCAUGCCGCGUGUGUGAAGAAGGCCUUUUGGUUGUAAAGCACUUUAAGCGAGGAGGAGGCUCCUUUAGUUAAUACCUAAAGUGAGUGGACGUUACUCGCAGAAUAAGCACCGGCUAACUCUGUGCCAGCAGCCGCGGUAAUACAGAGGGUGCGAGCGUUAAUCGGAUUUACUGGGCGUAAAGCGUGCGUAGGCGGCUUUUUAAGUCGGAUGUGAAAUCCCUGAGCUUAACUUAGGAAUUGCAUUCGAUACUGGAAAGCUAGAGUAUGGGAGAGGAUGGUAGAAUUCCAGGUGUAGCGGUGAAAUGCGUAGAGAUCUGGAGGAAUACCGAUGGCGAAGGCAGCCAUCUGGCCUAAUACUGACGCUGAGGUACGAAAGCAUGGGGAGCAAACAGGAUUAGAUACCCUGGUAGUCCAUGCCGUAAACGAUGUCUACUAGCCGUUGGGGCCUUUGAGGCUUUAGUGGCGCAGCUAACGCGAUAAGUAGACCGCCUGGGGAGUACGGUCGCAAGACUAAAACUCAAAUGAAUUGACGGGGGCCCGCACAAGCGGUGGAGCAUGUGGUUUAAUUCGAUGCAACGCGAAGAACCUUACCUGGCCUUGACAUACUAAGAACUUUCCAGAGAUGGAUUGGUGCCUUCGGGAACUUAGAUACAGGUGCUGCAUGGCUGUCGUCAGCUCGUGUCGUGAGAUGUUGGGUUAAGUCCCGCAACGAGCGCAACCCUUUUCCUUAUUUGCCAGCGGGUAAUGCCGGGAACUUUAAGGAUACUGCCAGUGACAAACUGGAGGAAGGCGGGGACGACGUCAAGUCAUCAUGGCCCUUACGGCCAGGGCUACACACGUGCUACAAUGGUCGGUACAAAGGGUUGCUACCUCGCGAGAGGAUGCUAAUCUCAAAAAGCCGAUCGUAGUCCGGAUCGCAGUCUGCAACUCGACUGCGUGAAG